CUGUUUCUGGAGGAGAUAGACUACUCCAUUCUAAAAUGAUGUGACUAAUACUGUCAUUUUAUUUCUUGAGAAGAUUUUUAUGUACAUUUGUAUAAUAUGUAAAAAUACAAUAUAAUAAACACAAACAUAAUGUAUAAAUGUAACAUGCAUGAAUGCAGACAUGAAUGCAAGUUUAGUAACUCACACUUUAAUAGGUAGACCUAGGACCCUUAAGGAAUGAUAGCUUUUGUCAACAUCAUUGUUCCCCCAGCUGCUUCGGGGCUUUGUCAUAUUUUUAUACAAAAGCCCUAUUGUGCCUACUGCCCUUCUGACCGUUCAAGAUUCAUUGUUACUCUGACAGGCGCUGUGGAGGGGACAGGCGCAUUCACUCCUUUCUUUGUUCGGACCAGACCCAGUCCAAUUGAUGAGCAUCUUCUGGGGAGGAGCGGGUGCUUGAUACCUCUGUUUUAAAGGAGUUCCCUAAGAGAGUCAAAUGCAUGGCACGUGGGAAGAACCAACUGUCUGCAGUGGACCAGGCACCAUGUUUGGUGCCCGGCAUUCCAAGAGUGAACAAGUUGGAGUUGGGCACCGUCUCCUCUAAGACUCUGGUCUUGCAGAAAUCCCACAGCAACUUCUCUUUGAAUCCAAUGCAGGGCUCGCAUGUGCAAAUCCCACGUGGAGGUCACGGUUCACUAACUCUGGAGGGCCACCUAGAGAAAAGAAGUGAUUCGGGAUAAUCACUCUGCAAACUGUAGACCAGAGACCCAGAAACCACCAUUCUUUUGGCGCUGUUUAGAAUUUGGGCAAGGAGCCACAGACACAUUUUUGAGGUGAGGAGAACUGCGUUUUCCUUUUCAUAAUUAAAAAAACCCAUCUUUAGCAUUUUUGGAAUAAGCAAUAUUCAUCUCUCAAUUAGUGUUAACAGCUAAUCAGGGUGCAGCAGGAUGGCAGAGCUUUCCUCAAACAGCAGGAAGCUUGUUUUAUUUUUUCAAUGCCACUUAAAGAUUAUUUGAAAAAUCUCCUUCAGAGACCAGUGCGUGGGGAGCCAC
rnacentral:lncRNA from 1 species